rnacentral:tRNA from 1 species
GGUAAAAUAGUUUAAUUAAUAAAAUAGUAAAUUGUAAAUUUAAAGAAAAAAAUUACCU